rnacentral:rRNA from 1 species
CCUGCCCAAGAGAUCGGGAUAACACCUGGAAACAGAUGCUAAUACCGGAUAACAACAGAUGAUGCCUAUCAACUGUUUAAAAGAUGGUUCUGCUAUCACUCUUGGAUGGACCUGCGGUGCAUUAGCUAGUUGGUAGGGUAACGGCCUACCAAGGCGAUGAUGCAUAGCCGGCCUGAGAGGGCGGACGGCCACAUUGGGGACUGAGAUACGGCCCAGACUCCUACGGGAGGCAGCAGCU